UGUAAUAUGUAGUGAUUUUGAAUAGAUGCAAGGAUUCUCAAAGAGAUUAUCGAGUGGACGUCGAUAAGUCAGGAAGGAUUUGAGGAGGGAAACUACGAUAAACAUCCCCCCCCCCCCCCCUGGGGGGCUACCUACUAGAUCUGAAAAGUACAAAAUUUAUUUAAUUGUCCAAGUGACAUUGGUUACUUAAAAAUAAAAUGUUUUUGAAUAGAUACAAGCAUUCUGAAAGAGAUUAUCGAGUGAAGGUCGAUGAAUUAGGAAGGAUUUGAGGACGGGAACAAUACCGAUCCCUGCCCCCCAGCCGUCAGACUCAACAACCGAAUACCCACCCACCAAGGGGGCGGUGCCCGACUCAAACGUCAACUGACCGCAUUUACUCCCAGUCCCAGUCCCAGACCGUCCUACGGUCGGUACUGAACUAUGCCCCACCCAUAUAAUAUUGAACUUCGCUGUUAAGAUUGCUGUCGGAUAAAAAUGGAGGAAAAUGCCAUGGCGUUAGCCAUUUAUAGCAAGAGAGUUACCGGCAGAAUUAAAACCAAAGAAGAAAUACCAUGGACCUGAUUUAGUAGGCAGUAGUAUGGAAGAACCGGCGGAAAAAGGUAUGUGAGCCCAGAGGUAGCAAAGGAUCUCCUCCAUCCUGGGAAGUGGGAUUGGUCAUAUGGAUUAGGUACCUACCAGGUUCUAUGAAGAUUCGUCUUUUGCCUGUUGUUCUCACCUGCUAUUGAGGUCUGAUCUCCCAAGGAAAUGGAAGAAUGGACCGUAGCAAGACAGACAACACCUAAAUGGAGGGAAGCCACCACUUUGGGGAGACUUCUCUGCAGAGAUUACUUUGGGAAAGUUAUUCUACGUAGAUAAACUUAUUCUACAUAGAAAACCUAAGAAAUUAAGGAGGAAGACACCAAAAAGUUGACAGUUGUGAAGCUAAAUCUUCUCCGAAAUCCCCAUAUGUACAUAAUGAAGAACAUCAAGACAGUUGGGAAACCUGGCAGGAAUUGACAUAAUGGAGGCCUAAAGGAUAUGCACGUCUGUAUGUACUUGUAAAUUUUGGAUUUCAUUCUCAGUGCAUAAGAAGCCUCAUCCCGGAGUAAAGAGGAAAUUUACUGACCAUCUCUAGAAAAUUUUGUAAGAUGAUUACUGGAAGACAAACUGGAAUCAUUAGGAAAGCAUGCAAAAAGUGGAGAUAGCCUGUAAAGUACCAUAGGUGGGUAGCGACAAGCCUCGCUAAAGGCAUGGAAUGUCAACACCAGUAAACAGUCAUUUCUUUACUUAUAGGAUGGGUAAGGUUUAAAAUAGAAUUUCAACCUAGGAUUGGCAAGGUCUAAAUAGAAUUCUAACUCCAGCUAGUCUGCAAGUUUUCUUUUAGCUCCUCUUCAACAGAAUUGAAAGCACGAAACCAGAUGAAGAUGGUACCAUUGCAGGUGUAGGCAGUCUGUUCAAGAAACCACAGAGAUCAUCUAAAAUAUUGUUUACAGAUCUGGUUUGGAACCUCUCCUAAUCUCUGAAAGAUGGUUGGAAAUGGAGAUGCUCGAGGCAUGCAUAGUGGAAAUCCUUUCCUCUCAUACAGAAGAAAACUUUUGCCAAUAGGUGGAUGGCAUGGUAGUGAGGUCACCCCAUGGAGUUUAGUGGUAUACUACUUGUUUGUGGCUGCCUUUGAAGACAAUUUGAAAAUGUCAUGAUAAACCAAAAGUAUGUCAAAUUUGAGUCUUCAUUAUCCUCUGAUGACAAUUUCAGAUGAUGGCCUGAAAACAAAGGUAUAACACACACAAAAGCCAGUAACUUACAUAUCCACCUACAUAAAGGCCGCAAAUGUGGAUUGCUGCCCGAAUGUAAGGGGAAUGUGGCCAAAUUCAUCAAGAGGUUCAUCACUGGUGCCCACAUCAGGAGGCAUUCUUGCUGGUGCCUGAGAAUCUCUCCGCAUGAAGAUGCAGUAUGGGAGAUGUUAAUAAAGAAAGAUAUUUACAACUUGUUGAUGGGCAAUUAUUGUGAAUUCAGUGUUCCAAACACUAGUCUGAACAAUGAAAGGGAAAACUAACAAGUGAUGUAUGUGACCACAGGACAGUGUAGAAACAGGAUGAAGAGGGCUCUCGGAGGAUUGUCAUCAAUAGUUAUACUGAAGAGAUACUUCAUAAAGAAGUCAUACUUUAUCAAGAAGUCAUUAAGACUGUCUCACACUCCCGACAUUGUGAUGAACAGCAUUAUCCCCCGGGAAUAGGAACUAAGGGGGAGUGAAUGAACAGAGGGGCAUUAAAGUCUGUUCGUCAAAGCAAAGUAGGGCACAUGAUGACCACCUUAAGGAUGCAUGUUAGACCCCAUUUACAAGAAUGUAGCGUUUCACCUCUACAUAUUUUGCUAAUGUGCUUGAGAAAAAGCAGCCAAUAAAUUAACUACAGUACAGUGUGUAACCAUCUCCAACCAAUGAUUUUCCCUCCAGCAGAAAAAUAAAUUUCCUCAACAAACCAUCAGGACCGCCGAAGAGCUUGCCUCUAUUGCAAUUUCCAUGACCUUGAGCAAUUGUCUGUUGGCAGAAAAUAAUAAAAUUAAGCAACAUUAUUUUAGACUUCUUAAAUUUUUAAGCCUUGUGGUACAAGGAAUUUAAAUGAUUCUGCAAGUCACAACAAAUUUCAAACAAUUUUAAAUUUGACUAAUUACAUUUUUAUGCCUUGUGGGUUAAGAGAUUUAAAGGAUUCUGCGGAUUAGUAAAAAUCUGCUAGUUACGUAUGAUCAUGUAAUCAAAGCGAGAUUUUUCAAAAUUCAAAAAUAUUUGAGAGCUUUCAGCCAUUUGCACAGUGGUCCUCUUCAGCAUUAAACAUGUAUUUCAACUUUUUCAUAGAGGAUUUUUUGUACAGUAAUUAGCUGGCUAUCUUUAUUGCGACAAACAAGACUGAUAUACCCACUUUAGAGGUAAUUACUAAGUACCUUCAAAGCCAAUUCAUGUCGACACGAAUCUGAUUCUUCAGGCCUCCUUUACCAUUCCUCUUAAGAUUAAUUCCUUGGUCUAGAUCUGCAUUUCUAGGAAUCAUUGUUCUGGGAAAUAAAGAAUUUUAUUAGUACAGUAAUAAUAAUAAUAUAAAAACUAUAUAGCAGUACAAGAGAUUACAGACUACAAAUAUGCAAAAAAUGCCCACAAAUGAAAUAUGAGUCUUAGGUUUGAGUCUAUUCCAAAUAUACAAAUAAAGUGCCCACAAAUAAAA